GUGUCCCCCCCCCUUCCAAGUCCCUUAAUUAAUUUGAGGGCAGUAUCACAGCUAUGCCCGUGUAUUUAUAGCGGGAUACUGAGGGCGAGUGCUGCGUGCGUUAGGGCUUGGGGUAAGGGACGCCGGAGGGUGUCAGGCCUGCUGCGAUGUCACUGGGGGACCCCGAAGGACGGCGGGAAGACAAACCUGGUCCUUCCUGGGAAUGGUCCCCAGUGCUGGCUGUAGCCUAACCGCUGCCAGGGGCCGAGCUAACAGCUAAGCAGAACGGAUGAGCAGUGUUUUCCAACUAACCUCUUGGCUUUGUUUUGUUUAGUGGGGCAGAUGUAGCUGUUGUUGUGCGUGUUGGAGUGUUUAAUUUGCUAUAACAUAAUUUUGCUUUUUUGACAGGGCAAUAUGUUGCGGUAUAUCUGAAGUGUGAGAAGUACCAAUCGAGCACAGACUGACACGUUUUAAAAUAUCAGUGUUUGCCAGAGCUUCCUCACCAAAUGCUCAUAAAGCCUUUGCCAUGAUCCUGAAAUAUCUUGCCGAGUACAGAGCGAUGGAGGAGGUAUGCCUUCCUUACAGCCUGAGGCAGUUGGUGUUAGGGAUCACAGAACAGCAAGUAGAUGGAUGGAGGCUGUGGGCGUUCGUCUGUUUGCCAGGUGACUUUCCUCUCUCCUGGGCAAUCCAGGUGUUUAACAAAUCCAGACAGCAGUAGCGGGCCCAGCAUGCCAAGGGAAGGAAGAGCAAGCACACCCUUCAAGAAUCUGCUUUUCUGGAGUGUGAAGCUCACGCCCGUUAAUAUUGCCUGGAGUGCUGGGUGUUGUGGAUUCCCAUCGCUUCUGAAAAUUUUAACACCGUACACCCAUUUCAAACACUCCCAACAGCAUAAAUUAGACUACUCAUCUACUGUGAAACCCACAGUACUUACUAGGUUCAAACCUCAGUCUUGGCCCCAGCUGUGUAAAGCAGACAGCAAGCUGCCCGAAAGGAGCAGCCAAGAUUUCCCUCAAGGAAAUCUUUCUUUUUGCCCUUUCACACAAGGGCAAAUUUCCAUUUCAUAA
rnacentral:lncRNA from 1 species